AGAGUUUGAUCCUGGCUCAGAGCGAACGCUGGCGGCAGGCUUAACACAUGCAAGUCGAGCGGGCGUAGCAAUACGUCAGCGGCAGACGGGUGAGUAACGCGUGGGAACGUACCUUUUGGUUCGGAACAACACAGGGAAACUUGUGCUAAUACCGGAUAAGCCCUUACGGGGAAAGAUUUAUCGCCGAAAGAUCGGCCCGCGUCUGAUUAGCUAGUUGGUGAGGUAAUGGCCCACCAAGGCGACGAUCAGUAGCUGGUCUGAGAGGAUGAUCAGCCACAUUGGGACUGAGACACGGCCCAAACUCCUACGGGAGGCAGCAGUGGGGAAUAUUGGACAAUGGGCGUAAGCCUGAUCCAGCCAUGCCGCGUGAGUGAUGAAGGCCCUAGGGUUGUAAAGCUCUUUUGUGCGGGAAGAUAAUGACGGUACCGCAAGAAUAAGCCCCGGCUAACUUCGUGCCAGCAGCCGCGGUAAU
rnacentral:rRNA from 1 species